GUCGACGAUUACUCCUACGGGAGGCAGCAGUGGGGAAUUUUGGACAAUGGGCGCAAGCCUGAUCCAGCAAUGCCGCGUGCAGGAUGAAGGCCUUCGGGUUGUAAACUGCUUUUGUACGGAACGAAAAGCUUCGGGCUAAUACCCUGGAGUCAUGACGGUACCGUAAGAAUAAGCACCGGCUAACUACGUGCCAGCAGCCGCGGUAAUAAUCUCUAGA
rnacentral:rRNA from 1 species